GCAAACAAAAUCCAGUUUUUAAGAGUUCGUAGUCCCAUGUGUUGAUUGAAAAAGCAUAAUAUUUGCCUUGGCUAAUUAUUCACUUGAUUCCUAUGAGUUACUAAAUGCAGAGGUUACUCGUGCACUGUAGAAAGGAGAGAAAUGGUCACUUCUGAACAGCUGUUUUGGUCACAAAGAAAUAGCCACAUAAGCAAAAAAUUGGCCUUUUCAUUCCAUAAUGUUACUGCUUUGGUUCUUCUGUUGGAGGUGGAUUGCCCCAGGCAGGUAGCAAGACUUCAGGAGAAUUAUAAUCACCCAAGGACAGAUACCCUCUUAUUUCAGCACAGUGGCCCUGGUGGAAGACAAAGUAUAACUCAAAAUAGGAAUCGAUCACUCCAGAUAAGACUGUACACAUAUCAGCAGUACAGUAUUGUUCAAACAAGGCCCCAGUUGGCUAGAAGGCUAAAUUAUGUAAGUAAAAUAAGAACACAU